CCUACGGGUGGCUGCAGUGGGGAAUAUUGGACAAUGGGCGAAAGCCUGAUCCAGCCAUGUCGCGUGUAUGAAGAAGGCCUUCGGGUUGUAAAGCACUUUCAGUGGGGAAGAAAGCCUUGGGGCUAAUACCCUCGAGGAAGGACAUCACCCACAGAAGAAGCACCGGCUAACUCCGUGCCAGCAGCCGCGGUAAUACGGAGGGUGCGAGCGUUAAUCGGAAUUACUGGGCGUAAAGCGCGCGUAGGCGGUCUGAUAAGCCGGUUGUGAAAGCCCCGGGCUCAACCUGGGAACGGCAUCCGGAACUGUCAGGCUAGAGUGCAGGAGAGGAAGGUAGAAUUCCCGGUGUAGCGGUGAAAUGCGUAGAGAUCGGGAGGAAUACCAGUGGCGAAGGCGGCCUUCUGGACUGACACUGACGCUGAGGUGCGAAAGCGUGGGUAGCAAACAGGAUUAGAUACCCGGGUAGUC
rnacentral:rRNA from 1 species